CACAUGCAAGUCCAACGGCCGUAGCAAUACGUCAGUGGCAGACGGGUGAGUAACGCUUGGGAACGUACCUUUUGGUUCGGAACAACUGAGGGAAACUUCAGCUAAUACCGGAUAAGCCCUUACGGGGAAAGAUUUAUCGCCGAAAGAUCGGCCCGCGUCUGAUUAGCUAGUUGGUGAGGUAAUGGCUCACCAAGGCGACGAUCAGUAGCUGGUCUGAGAGGAUGAUCAGCCACAUUGGGACUGAGACACGGCCCAAACUCCUACGGGAGGCAGCAGUGGGGAAUAUUGGACAAUGGGGGCAACCCUGAUCCAGCCAUGCCGCGUGAGUGAUGAAGGCCCUAGGGUUGUAAAGCUCUUUUGUGCGGGAAGAUAAUGACGGUACCGCAAGAAUAAGCCCCGGCUAACUUCGUGCCAGCAGCCGCGGUAAUACGAAGGGGGCUAGCGUUGCUCGGAAUCACUGGGCGUAAAGGGUGCGUAGGCGGGUUUCUAAGUCAGAGGUGAAAGCCUGGAGCUCAACUCCAGAACUGCCUUUGAUACUGGAAGUCUUGAGUAUGGCACAGGUGAGUGGAACUGCGAGUGUAGAGGUGAAA
rnacentral:rRNA from 1 species